rnacentral:rRNA from 1 species
CCUACGGGAGGCAGCAGUGGGGGAUAUUGCACAAUGGGGGAAACCCUGAUGCAGCGACGCCGCGUGAGUGAAGAAGUAUUUCGGUAUGUAAAGCUCUAUCAGCAGGGAAGAAAAUGACAGUACCUGACCAAGAAGCCCCGUCUAACUACGUGCCAGCAGCCGCGGUAAUACGUAGGGGGCAAGCGUUAUCCGGAUUUACUGGGUGUAAAGGGGGCGUAGACGGUUAUGUAAGUCUGGAGUGAAAGCCUGGGGCCCAACCCCGGGACUACUUUGGAAACUGUGUAACUGGAGUACAGGAGGGGCAGGCGGAAGUCCUGGUGUAGCGGUGAAAUGCGUAGAUAUCAGGAGGAACACCGGCGGCGAAGGCGGCCUGCUGGACUGAAACUGACGUUGAGGCUCGAAAGCGUGGGGAGCAAACAGGAUUAGAUACCCGGGUAGUC